rnacentral:rRNA from 1 species
AUUGAACGCUGGCGGCAGGCUUAACACAUGCAAGUCGAACGAGUGGCGGACGGGUGAGUAAUGCUUGGGAAUCUGGCUGAUGGAGGGGGAUAACGACGGGAAACGGUAGCUAAUACCGCGUACCAUAGGAUGAGCCCAGGUGGGAUUAGGUAGUUGGUGGGGUAAUGGCUGACCAAGCCGACGAUCUCUAGCUGGUCUGAGAGGAUGACCAGCCACACCGGAACUGAGACACGGUCCGGACUCCUACGGGAGGCAGCAGUGGGGAAUAUUGCGCAAUGGGGGCAACCUGAUGCAGCCAUGCCGCGUGAAUGAAGAAGGCCUUCGGGUUGUAAAGUUCUUUCGGUGGCGAGGCGUUAAUCACAGAAGAAGCACCGGCUAACUCCGUGCCAGCAGCCGCGGUAAUAC